rnacentral:piRNA from 1 species
UGCCUUGCGAAAUAACAGCAGCCUAGC